rnacentral:rRNA from 1 species
UACGUAGGGGGCCAGCGUUGUCCGGAUUCAUUGGGCGUAAAGCGCGUGUAGGCGGCCAGGUAGGUCCGAUGUGAAAUCUGGAGGCUCAACCUCCAGCGGUCAUUGGAAAGCAUCUGGCUAGAGUCCGGAAGAGGAGAGUGGAAUUCCUGGUGUAGCGGUGAAAUGCGCAGAUAUCAGGAAGAACACCAAUGGCGAAGGCAGCUCUCUGGGACGGUACUGACGCUGAGACGCGAAAGCGUGGGGAGCAAACAGG